GAUGAACGCUGGCGGCGUGCCUAAUACAUGCAAGUCGAGCGAACUUUUGGGAGCUUGCUCCCAAAAGUUAGCGGCGGACGGGUGAGUAACACGUGGGUAACCUGCCUGUAAGACUGGGAUAACUUCGGGAAACCGGAGCUAAUACCGGAUAACAUUGAAGACCACAUGGCCUUCAAUUAAAAGGUGGCUUUUAGCUACCACUUACAGCUGGACCCGCGUCGCAUUAGCUAGUUGGUGAGGUAACGGCUCACCAAGGCGACGAUGCGUAGCCGACCUGAGAGGAUGAGCAGGCACAGUGGAACUGAGAAACGGUCGAGAAUCCGACGGGAGGAAGCAGUGGGGAAUAUUGGACAAUGGGCGAAAGGCUGAUCGAGCAAUACAGCGUGAGUGAAGAAGGCCGUCGGGUUGGAAAGCCCUUUUGUUGGGAAAGAAAAGAAGCAGGUGAAUAACCCGCUGUUCUGAGGGUACCAAAAGAAUAAGCAACGGCGAACUUCGUG
rnacentral:rRNA from 1 species